rnacentral:rRNA from 1 species
UACAGAGGGGGCAAGCGUUGUUCGGAAUUACUGGGCGUAAAGGGCGCGUAGGUGGCCAACUAAGUCAGACGUGAAAUCCCUCGGCUUAACCGGGGAACUGCGUCUGAUACUGGAUGGCUUGAGUUUGGGAGAGGGACGCGGAAUUCCAGGUGUAGCGGUGAAAUGCGUAGAUAUCUGGAGGAACACCGGUGGCGAAGGCGGCGUCCUGGACCAAUACUGACACUGAAACGCGAAAGCCAGGGGAGCAAACGGG